UACAUUUCGCAGAAGAGGUACACUUUGACAUUUAAUUUAGUGCAAAGCUGCAAGUAUAAAUAGAAUGUUUUGAACUCGAUCCUGCUCUCCGAAUCAGAAAAUCACCCACAACGAAUUUCAGUGUUUCUCCAUUCUUAUGCAUUUUUACGGUAUUAUGCGUUGUUUGCAGCGCUUUUGGUGCUCACUUUGAAUUCGAUUCAGAAACGCUCUCUAACAUCCUGGUGCGUCGCAGACCACCGCCCCCCUGUCAAGGAUGCGUCUGCUAUAGCCAUGCCAACGGCCAGUGUCCGAAUUGCAAUCCUGGAUGUUGUCCUGGUUGCUAACAACACGAUAAGUCAAAAACCUGAUUUUUCAAUUUCAUAACUCCGAUGUUUCGGUUAAAAAUGUAUUUGUUUGAUUACUGAGCGACUUAAGACCGUCUUACGUCCUAAGCAUGUACGGUUUAGUGCCUCACCAACGAUGCAGAGGUGCAAAGUUGCAUGUUAUUUUUAUCAUUUUAUUUAAUGGAAUUUUGUGAUGUUGUAUUCCCUGGAAAACCAACAUGGAGAGAGUACGAACAUGUCAAAAUAUGUAGGUCUGAGGGCCCAAAAAAGGCAGUGCCUUCUAAUAAGACAAAUAUUAGAAAUAUGUCGCAUCAAUCUUCAGAUUUCAAUAUCAAAGGAAAUGACCAAGAAUGUUCAUGAAAGAGCGUUCUUCUGCAAAAAUAAGUAAAAGUAUGGUGAAACUGAGUCAAAUAUAUUUUUUACAAACAAAGGGUCGCAACUAUUGUAAUGAUAAUUUAUUUGGGAUAAUUUAAGUUCAUAGGCUGGCUGUUCUUCUGGGCCCUAAAAGCUCCAUGACCGAACGUCCAAAAUUAGCCGGCUAGGUUGGCCUAGCUGUCAUCGCGUCUGAAUCUAGGUCGAUGGGUCCAAGGCUCGAAUCCCGAUCGUGGCGUUGAAAUUUCACGGAACUGACGAGUGGAUCCGCAGGAACAGAUUCUACUCGGCCUUAAUACCUGAAAAUUUGAAAGGCCGAGAGUAUGGAUGUGCCAAAGUCCCUUGAUGUCUAUGGAAAAUACAUGUAGUCUGUAGAUGGCUGUAUAUCCUCAGGGAAUAUAAGUUAAUAAAC